AACGAACGCUGGCGGCAUGCCUAACACAUGCAAGUCGAACGAGACCUUCGGGUCUAGUGGCGCACGGGUGCGUAACGCGUGGGAAUCUGCCCUUGGGUUCGGAAUAACAGUUAGAAAUGACUGCUAAUACCGGAUAAUGUCUUCGGACCAAAGAUUUAUCGCCCAGGGAUGAGCCCGCGUAGGAUUAGCUAGUUGGUGAGGUAAAGGCUCACCAAGGCGACGAUCCUUAGCUGGUCUGAGAGGAUGAUUAGCCACACUGGGACUGAGACACGGCCCAGACUCCUACGGGAGGCAGCAGUGGGGAAUAUUGGACAAUGGGCGAAAGCCUGAUCCAGCAAUGCCGCGUGAGUGAUGAAGGCCUUAGGGUUGUAAAGCUCUUUUACCCGGGAUGAUAAUGACAGUACCGGGAGAAUAAGCCCCGGCUAACUCCGUGCCAGCAGCCGCGGU
rnacentral:rRNA from 1 species